CGUUUGAUGUGAUGGAUCACAAGGAUGGUAUUUUAGCAAGGCAUUUGUUGAAGAAGAGCCUCCUUCCUUGAGCAUGCACAUUAAACUGAUCAUGUAUUCUCAGCAAACA